UGUGUCGAUGGAACCCCCCGUCUCCUCUCUCUCCAUGGUUGAGCCCCCACCCUCCCGAGGCAUCCUCUGGUGGCUGGUUGAGCUGAUGCCGGCCUCCCCUCCUUUUUUUCUUCCCUUCCGUUGGUUGACACUGGACCCUGCAUCCCUUUUGAUGGUUGACACGAUGGUGGUUCAUUCGUCGGAACCAUGUUGGACACUUUGCUCUCCCUCC
rnacentral:lncRNA from 1 species